UACAGAGGGUGCAAGCGUUAAUCGGAAUUACUGGGCGUAAAGCGUGCGUAGACGGUAGCGUAAGUCGGGUGUGAAAGCCCCGGGCUCAACCUGGGAAUUGCAUUCGAGACUGCUCUGCUAGGGUGCGGAAGAGGGAAGCGGAAUUUCCGGUGUAGCGGUGAAAUGCGUAGAUAUGUGGAGGAAUACCGAUGGCGAAGGCAGCCUCCUGGGCCAACACUGACGCUCAUGCACGAAAGCGUGGGGAGCAAACAGG
rnacentral:rRNA from 1 species